UACGAAGGGUGCAAGCGUUACUCGGAAUUACUGGGCGUAAAGCGUGCGUAGGUGGUUUGUUAAGUCUGAUGUGAAAGCCCUGGGCUCAACCUGGGAACGGCAUUGGAAACUGGCUUACUAGAGUGCGGUAGAGGGGUGUGGAAUUCCCGGUGUAGCAGUGAAAUUCGUAGAUAUCGGGAGGAACACCAGUGGCGAAGGCGGCGAUCUGGGCAGAUACUGACGCUGAGGUGCGAAAGCGUGGGGAGCAAACAGG
rnacentral:rRNA from 1 species